rnacentral:rRNA from 1 species
AGUGAACGCUGGCGGCGUGCCUAAUACAUGCAAGUCGAACGAGAAAAGGGAAACCUGAGUCCAGUGGCGUACGGGUGAGUAACGCGUAGGUAAUCUACACCAGAAUCCGGAAUAACCUGCAGAAAUGCGGGCUAAUACUGCUUAGAGCGAGGGAACUCGUAAGAGAGUUUUUCGGGUAGGGGAGCCCGCAAGGGCCUUCGUUUUGGGAUGAACCUGCGUCUCAUUAGCUAGUUGGUAAGGUAACGGCUUACCAAGGCGAUGAUGAGUAGCUGGGCUGAGAGGAUGGUCAGCCACCCUGGGACUGAAACAAGGGCCAGACUCCUAAGGGGAGGCGCAGGUGGGGAACUUGCGCAAUGGGAGGAAGUCUGACGGAGCCAAGGCGGGGUGGGGAAGAAAGGCCUCGGGUUGUAAAGAUCUGUCUAUUGGGAAGGACAUCUUAAUAGAGAAUAGAUAUAAGUAUUGACGGUACCAUCUAAGAAAGCAACGACUAACUACGUG